CCUACGGGAGGCAGCAGUGGGGAAUUUUGGACAAUGGGCGAAAGCCUGAUCCAGCAAUGCCGCGUGAGUGAAGAAGGCCUUCGGGUUGUAAAGCUCUUUUGUCAGGGAAGAAACGGUGAGAGCUAAUAUCUUUUGCUAAUGACGGUACCUGAAGAAUAAGCACCGGCUAACUACGUGCCAGCAGCCGCGGUAAUACGUAGGGUGCAAGCGUUAAUCGGAAUUACUGGGCGUAAAGCGUGCGCAGGCGGUUUUGUAAGUCUGUCGUGAAAUCCCCGGGCUCAACCUGGGAAUUGCGAUGGAGACUGCAAGGCUAGAAUCUGGCAGAGGGGGGUAGAAUUCCACGUGUAGCAGUGAAAUGCGUAGAGAUGUGGAGGAACACCGAUGGCGAAGGCAGCCCCCUGGGUCAAGAUUGACGCUCAUGCACGAAAGCGUGGGGAGCAAACAGGAUUAGAUACCCUGGUAGUCCACGCCCUAAACGAUGUCUACUAGUUGUCGGGUUUUAAUUAACUUGGUAACGCAGCUAACGCGUGAAGUAGACCCGCCUGGGGGAGGUACGGUCGGUCGAGAAGUUAAACUUAACUAAAUUAAGUUAAGUUAGUUACGGCGUUGAGACGNGCCGACGGACGACGACGAGGGGAGGAGGGAG
rnacentral:rRNA from 1 species